UACAGAGGUCUCAAGCGUUGUUCGGAUUCAUUGGGCGUAAAGGGUGCGUAGGCGGCGCGGUAAGUCGGGUGUGAAAUCUCGGAGCUUAACUCCGAAACUGCAUUCGAUACUGCCGUGCUUGAGGACUGGAGAGGAGACUGGAAUUUACGGUGUAGCGGUGAAAUGCGUAGAUAUCGUCAGGAAUGCCGGUGGUGAAGACGGGUGACUGGGCUGGUUCUGACACUGAGGCACGAAAGCGUGGGGAGCGAACGGG
rnacentral:rRNA from 1 species